ACGGGAGGCAGCAGUGGGGGAUAUUGGACAAUGGGGGCAACCUGAUCCAGCGACGCCGCGUGAGGGAAGAAGGUUUUCGGAUUGUAAACCUCUGUUGACGGAGAAAAAAAUGAUGGUAUCCGUUUAGAAAGCCACGGCUAACUACGUGCCAGCAGCCGCGGUAAUACGUAGGUGGCAAGCGUUGUCCGGAAUUACUGGGUGUAAAGGGAGUGUAGGCGGGAUAUCAAGUCAGAAGUGAAAAUUACGGGCUCAACUCGUAACCUGCUUUUGAAACUGACAUUCUUGAGUGAAGUAGAGGCAAGCGGAAUUCCUAGUGUAGCGGUGAAAUGCGUAGAUAUUAGGAGGAACACCAGUGGCGAAGGCGGCUUGCUGGGCUUUUACUGACGCUGAGGCUCGAAAGCGUGGGGAGCAAACAGGAUUAGAUACCCUGGUAGUCCACGCCGUAAACGAUGAUUAUUAGGUGUGGGGGGAUUGACCCCUUCCGUGCC
rnacentral:rRNA from 1 species